UACGUAGGGUGCGAGCGUUGUCCGGAAUUAUUGGGCGUAAAGAGCUCGUAGGCGGUGUGUCACGUCGGCCGUGAAAACCUGCAGCUUAACUGUGGCGUGCGGUCGAUACGGGCAUCACUGGAGUUCGGCAGGGGAGACUGGAAUUCCUGGUGUAGCGGUGAAAUGCGCAGAUAUCAGGAGGAACACCGGUGGCGAAGGCGGCUUGCUGGGCCUUACCUGACGCUGAGGAGCGAAAGCGUGGGGAGCGAACAGG
rnacentral:rRNA from 1 species